CUCGAGUAACGUUAGUCGUGAGUCAGAGGCGACGACAAGUGUCACCGAGGCUGCUGCUGUCGCCCUACUGAAUGAGGACUUCCGUUUCCGUUUUGUAAACAAGAGCUGAUAAUAGCCUCUGUUAAGCCUGAUCCAAUGCAGGUCAGCCCUGCCCAAAAACAUGCAGGACGAGGAAGCUCCAAAGAAAGGACGGUCACAUACAAUAUGGCAGAAAAUACUCUCUCUUAAGCCUGACACAAAGCAGGACAUCAUAGAUGCAAUGAUGCAAGAUCAGGAAGGUUUUAAAAUAGAGCUGGAGUCCCUGAAAAUCACCCUAACGGAGUAUAAAGAGCUAAACAAGGAGCUGUCCUUACACAAUGCCGCCCUGAGGAGAAGGAUUGUGUGCUGAGGACGUAAAACAGGUCAUCCUGGAAAAAGAUGACCUGAUAAAGAAAAUAUCAGCAGAGAAAACAGCUCUGAACGAUCAGCUCAAGUGUGAGCAGGCUGCAAAGGAGGCAAGCUUUAAAAAAAAUUACUCCAAGACAAUAGCAGAAAAGUGGAGGAGCAGUGGUGCAAAAAAAAAAAAGCCAACGAAAUGGACCAAGAGAUGAAGCUCCUGAUCCAACAAAAAACAUUUCAGGUACCUUCAUUUGGAUUCUUAAAAUGUUUGAUUAUAACAGUUUUUCAGGUUAAGUUUAAGACAAAAAAUACUCACUGUGUGCUCUGUCUUUUUAGGAGCUUACUCUAAAACGCAACAAGGAGAAGAUGGAGAUGAAAAAAGAGGAAGAACAGGCAAAGAAAGAAGCAAAGAAGAAACUGAAGAAGAAUGAUAAGUCCUCUUCUCAUAAAGCGUACCAGCCUUCCUUCCUCUAAUCACCAACUUCUCCCCUUUCCUACCAACUUUCCCCACCUCUUCGCUAUGAACUUCUGUCACCCUGCCCAUUUCUUACCCACUUUGUCCCGUUUAUCCCCAUCCUCUUCCCCCUUCCUACUAACUUCUACAUCAACCCCGUCUCCUGUCUCUACCCGUACUGAGUUUGAGAGCUUGCGGUCAAUAAUCUUAGUCCAGUCAGCAGGAUAUUAAAAUUUAACAGGUUUUUGUCCCUUGAGGGCAAAAGAACACUGUCAGUUCAUAGUCAUCAGCAACAUUAUUGCUGAGUGUUUGUGGCCAUAUGGUAAAUUCAAAUCCAAUAUUCACUCUUAGCUAUGCUUUUGGUCUACCUACUCCUGAAGAAAACAUCUGGCUCUUUAACUGCUAAAUGCAUCAUCUUGAGUUGGUCAUUAACUGUCUGCUGAGCAGGUUGUGUACAGAGGAUUUUUAGAUUUUAAUGAACCACCAUGCAAGCAAGCAACUUUAUGGAAAAGAUGAUUGAUGUGAAGUAGGCCAGAGACCAAACUUUUUUAAAAAGCAUGUUUAUUUUACAUAUGCUUUAUAUACACAUUGAGCAAUCACAUUGUACAAUAUACAGUGUUGAUACACACUUUAUGGGCCCUGCUCUAAGCCACAUCUGGCAGUUAGACAGUCUCCACUGCACACAUUUUGAUGGUCUGUUGAUCAGGUGCCAGCUGUCAAGAAAGCAAUGUAGGGUCUGAUGUGCUAAUUUAGACUUUCCUUUAGACAUCCUUUCAGCAGCAACUGAGUCACAUGUUACAGCGAAGAUCUUUUUUCCCCACUUGUGCUGUCAAAAUGUCUGCAGUGAAAAAAGGCUAUACUGCAUAGUUCUGAAGGCCUCUUUAAAGAGAAAAGCUUAAAAUUAUUUU